AUUGAACGCUGGCGGCAGGCCUAACACAUGCAAGUCGAUCGAGCGGCGGACGGGUGAGUAAUGUAUGGGGACUGCCCGAUAGAGUUGGAUAACUACUGGAAACGGUAGCUAAUACCGCAUACUAUCGGAUAACCCAUAUGGGAUUAGCUAGUAGGUGCGGUAAUGGCGCACCUAGGCGACGAUGCCUAGCUGGUCUGAGAGGAUGAUCAGCCACACUGGGACUGAGAGACGGCCCAGACUCCUACGGAGGCAGCAGUGGGGAAAAUUGCACAAUGGGCGCAAGCCUGAUGCAUCCAUGCCGCGUGUAUGAGGAAGGCCCUAGGGUUGUAAAGUCCGUUCAGGCGGGGGGCGUUACCGACAGAAGAAGCACCGGCUAACUCCGUGCCAGCAGCCGCGGUAAUUC
rnacentral:rRNA from 1 species